rnacentral:rRNA from 1 species
UUUGACCUCAAAUCAGGUAGGACUACCCGCUGAACUUAAGCAUAUCAAUAAGCGGAGGAAAAGAAACUAACAAGGAUUCCCCUAGUAACUGCGAGUGAAGCGGGAAAAGCUCAAAUUUAAAAUCUGGCAGUCUUUGGCUGUCCGAGUUGUAAUCUAGAGAA